rnacentral:lncRNA from 1 species
UUACCUUUGAAUGGGAUAAAGAUAUUGAAGUAGAAGACAGUGCCAAAGAAGAUGAUGACGAUGGUGAAACAUAUUCUGACUAGGUAAUUUAUUGAUAGUUUUAGUUGUGUUGUUAGACAGUUUUAUCUCUAUGAGCUAUCUUUUUGACUUUGUUUAAUGGUUGUUUGUUGUGUUGUGGCCAAUCUGUUGUUUUUGGCUGCCUACCUUCUAUGGCAAAAUAUAGUUAUUUACAUGUAAAAUAUGGUCCAGUUGCAAUUGUUUCUCUCUGAACCUAUUUUCUUUAUAUGAUAUGAAAUAUGAACCUUCAAUAUUGUUGUUACUUAAGUUGAACUGGCAAAUGGUUGAAACAAUUGUUACAAAUAGUGGCAGUUACAUAAAUAGGGAGAUAUAGUUAUUUAGGGGAUAUACUAUUUUCUUCAUAUGAUAUGAAACAUGAAGCUUCAUUGUUAGUUAGGUUGAAAGUUGAUUGUCCUUUUCAAAAUACACAACUUCAUGAUAUUUUUUUGCUUAUAGGCUAUUAUGGAGCGCUUGGAGCGAAUGUUUGGGAAUUCCAUGCCUAUUAUAAACUCUUCAAUUCAACAGGAAGGAGAGGGUGAUAAUGGUAACAGCGAGAUGGAUGAACUUUAGUUUGGUUACUUUUGUUUAAUAGGUUGAAUUGAUGAUAAACUUUGUAUUUUAAUAUUAUGUGGUGAUGUUUUGUUGUAUGAGUGUACUUUCAUGUCACUUUUGCAAAUUUGAUGUUUAUCAAAAUAUAAUUGUGACAUUCUUGAUAGUUAGAUAAACAUAAUGAAUAUCUUAAACAUUAUUUUACCA